ACGCAACCUAAGCUGGAUGGCGUAUAGUCCAUGCGACCCUUCUUUCCCAUUCUACAAUUAACAGAGAGACGCCGAGAUCGUUGAUUGGCCUGUGGCAUGUGCCACCCCGACCACUGAAAUACCAUGGCACAAGCCGUUCAGGUGGAACGGAACAUGCCGUUCAGGUGGAACGGCAAGUGCCGUUCAGGCCCUAUUGCCGUAAAUGUAAAGCUAUAUAUAUUUGGUCUUUGACACUAUAUCACAACAUAACGCCGUAAAUAAAGGGAUUUACACGUUUCUCAUGUCCGUUCUGUUGUUAGGUUAUGUGCGAUCUGUAUGUUGUUGCUUUUGAAAUGACAGGUGCUUUUGAAAACAGCCGGACUGCUCCGGUGGCGGUGUCAUGCCAAAUUUGUACCGGCUGCCAAAUUUGUACCGGGCGCGUGACGCGUCAUCCAUACGUAAUCCAUUCCAAACCUGCCUGGCAGCAGAUGAUCGCGUCGUCCGUUGCCGGGCAGGUUUCAAAAAACAUUCGCGCUCAUGUUGCCAAAGACGAAAUAACAUAAUACAGUUAACGGAUCGCUCGAUAACACUUGUUUUUACUUUAUAUUUGUAUUGUAUUCAAUUGUUUAAUCAAAUUUAGCUGGUAAACUGAGUGUUUAAAGCGGGUUUCAAAAAACAUUCGCGCUCAUGUUGCCAAAGACGAAAUAACAUAAUACAGAAAACGGAUCGCUAGAUAACACUUGUUUUUACUUUAUAUUUGUAUUGUAUUUAAUCAAAUUUAGCAAGUAAACUGAGUGUUUAAAGCAGGUCAAGGACGAAAUAGCACAAUACAGAUAACGGAUCGCUAGAUAGAAGGUUCGCGAAUGUCCGUGAACCUUUCACGUCAUUCGACGCGAUCGUCCGUUGCCAGGCAACGGACGACGCGAUCAUCUGUUGCCAGGCAGGUUUGUAAUGGAUUACGUAUGGAUGACGCGCCCGGUACAAAUUUGGCAGCCGGUACAAAUUUGGCAUGACAGCGGUAGUAAGCCUAGCCUUUAAUCAUCUGCUCGUUCCAAUCGCUUCUUCCGAUAGCUUGUAACCAAAGAUGUCUUCUGUUUGCCUUAAAUGGGGUGCGAGUUGAUGGUAUCCUGUAGAACUUCUGUGUUUUGUUAGUCUUAUUAAAACGGUUUGUGCAACCAACCGCGCAACAAGACUUGAUUGCGGCUCUUGUCGCUCUCGUCUCUUUCUGCAUUACAUGCGCAGUGACGUAGACUGAUAAUCUCUCAAGAGUCCUCGGUUGCUAAGCGACGUCAACGUCUUUGGCGGACUAUUUCUGAGCUGAUCAACAAUACGAAUGCUGGUAACAAAUGAAUUGUAAAAAGACACACCGUGUACAUUUAUUUGGCCAUAUGCUAAAGACGUGUCUAGUUCACCGUCAUGCAGGCUGUGUUCAGUAAAAUAAAUAGCGAUGUUUUUAAUAAUUUUGAUUGAUUUCUUACAAAUCAACAAGCCUCUCCCUGUGUCGCUGUGUGUGCGUGUAUCCGAGUUGCGUGUGUGCGUUUAUCCGAGUUGCGUGUGUGCGUGGGGUGUUCUUGAUUGACCGAUUUUCGAAUAUUAUUCAAAUACUUCGCAGCGAAUAUUGAAUAGUAUUUUUGCCAGAAAUGCACAUCCCUAGUAGCUACUUACCAUUUUCCAUAAGUGGCAUGCCAGUGGAAAAACGGUAGGUGCCAGUAUAAACUGUUAAUUACCAUUUUUCAUGAGUGGCAUGCCAGAGGAAAAACGGUGAUUCCAGUAGGAAAUGGAACUUCCGAUUAACAUAAUUGGCUUGCCAGCGGAAAAACGUUUGGACUAUACGCCAUGAUACCACUGGAUCAUGUCGGUAUACGAAGGUUUAUGACACUGGAUCAGUGCUAAAUGAUAGGAACCUAUCAUAAUUUGUUAGAUCUGUAACCAACUCCAGUUGGGACGCUCCUAGUGCUCCAUUAUUUCGGAAUCUGGAGUUGCUAAGCAUAUAUGAUGUGAAUACUCUUCAGAUCGGCACUUUUGUUUUCCAGUUUUUCAAUAAUUUACUUCCUUCUUCUUUUAACAGUUUUUUUAUAACCAGGUCACAGAUCCAUAGUCAUCAGACCAGAUCUGUAGAUCUCCUUCAUCGGCAAUUUUUCAGAACAAAUCUGGGACAGUUUUCUAUUAGGGACAGAGGUCCAGUCGUUUAGAACAGUUUUC
ensembl:lncRNA